GCGCCCUUAGUUCAAUGGAUAGAGCGUCUGACUUCGGAUCAGAAUGUUGAGGGUUCGAAUCCUUCAGGGCGCACCA
rnacentral:tRNA from 1 species